rnacentral:misc_RNA from 1 species
AUCUGCAAUUAAUUAGAUAAAUAAUAGUACAAAAUUAUUAAUAAUAUUUCUUGGAUGCUACGUAAUUAAUUACGUUUCUAUUUGUAAUUUAUUAGUUCAUUAAUUGACUGAUUAAAAACUCUAGGAAUUUUAGAGUUUAGAUGUUGACAACUUGGCGUUGUUGAAAAACAAAAAAAACAACAACAAAAAAAAAACAAACGCGUGCCACUGAUUAGAGUAAACAUGGCGGAUAAUACAUCAAUUGUCACAAUUUCUGGUGUAACACUUUCAUUAUUACUUUAUGAAAAUGUUCGAAGUGAAGGAGAUCAGAUGGGAUUUUUGCUUGGUGAAAUUUAUACAUAUGUCACAAAAAGUUUGACUGAUGGUGAACAUCAAGUUGAAUCAGUUAAAACUCAUAUUGAUAUUCAAAAUGUUUUAAGAUGUUCAAUAAGUGACUUGAUGUUUGAUUCAUGUUGUAAAAUAAAUCAUGAUAAACUUAAACAAAUUGUUAAGGAUAAAACAAAAAUUAUUGGAUGGUAUAUAUUUCGUAAAAAUUCAUCAUUAACACCAACAAUAAGAGAUAAAUUAAUGCAUAAACAAUUUGCAAAUAUAUUUUCUAAAAAUGAUAAUUUUAUAACAUGCAUGAUGACUGUUGGAUUAACAAAAACUCAAGGAACACAUAAAUUUCGUCAUGUUUUUUUUAAUUAUACAUUUGGUGAUUAUCAUCCAGUUCCAUUACGUAUUAAUAAUUUGGGUGAUGAUGCAACAAAACGUGAUGGUUCUGAUUAUAAAAUAGCACCAACAAAUCAAUUUCAACCUGGUCUUGAUGUUUUCACGCAGUUUGUUAAAUCAUUAAAUAUUGAUUUGGAUCAUACACCAGGUGUUGUGUCAGCUGUUAAAAUUCAAAAAGCUUCAGAACAACAUCUUGAAUCAUUGGUUAAAAAAGUAUGUGAAAGUGAUAUUGAAGUUGCUGAAUUAGAAAAAAAAGUAUUUGCAUUAAAAGAAAAUAUAUUUAAAACAAAAAUGGAAAAUAUUCAAACAAAAACAAAUCCAUUUUUGUUUGAUGAUUCUGUUGUUCAAUCACCAAAGCAAGAAUUUUUAAAAGAAACAAGAAAAAGUAUUAGACCAGAUAUAGCAAGUCCUAAAAUUACAACUAGAGAAACUGAUGUGGCUGUUAAAAAUUCACCAGUUAUAUCAGAAAUUGAUAUACCAGUCAAAGCAUCCAGUACUCCACAGAGACGCUCAUACAGUAAAGCCAUAAUAAAAAAAGAAGACAUGGAAUGUUGAUGAUUUAUAAAAACUACCUCAAAAAUAAUUCCAAAUAUGAUAUAUUAAUUUUUUAUGUUGUUGAUAAAAAAUAAAAUAAUAGAUAAUGAGUAUUUUUCUUUAUGAAAAAAGAAAAUAUUAUUUAAUAUUUUCAUCAAGGCUGGUUUCCUAGACAAUUCAAGUCUACACAUCAUCCGUUUUCAAAAAUAAAACAAAUU